GACGAACGCUGGCGGCAUGCCUAACACAUGCAAGUCGAACGGAAGGUUCGGCCUUAGUGGCGCAGGUGUGCGUAAGACGUGGUAAUCUGCCCGUGGGUUCGGAAUAACAGAUGGAAACGUCUGCUCAUACCAGAGGAUGACAAAAGGCCAAGGAUGUAUCGCCAGAGGGUGGGGCCGGGUUAGAUUAGGUGGUUGGUGGUGUAAAGGCCGACCAAUCCGACGAUCCAUAGCUGGUCUGGUAGGAUGAUACGCUACACUGGGAAUGAGACACGGCCCAGACUGCUACGGGGGGCAGCAGUGGGGAGUAUAGGAGAAUGGGCGCAAGCCUGACAAAGCAAUGCCGCGUGAGUGAGGCAGGCCCUAGGGUUGUAAAGCUCUUUUACCCGGGACGAUAAUGACGGUACCGGGAGAAUAAGCCCCGGCUAACUCCGUG
rnacentral:rRNA from 1 species